CAAAAUAUAUUUCAGUGAAACUUUAUAAUCUAACUAUAGCUAUAGUACAAAUGUAAUUAUACGUGUAACGGUGCUUGAUAUAACAUAAGACACGGACGCCGUCGUCCGUUUCAUUAUACGAUUUCGUUUAAAUGUAUAAAUUAUACGUAUAGGCGAGUAAAAAAACGUUGGGAAGAUAGGAUAUAUUAUAAAGUUGUUUAAUUUGUAUUUGUACGCAACGAGUUGAGUUAGGUUAUGGUGCAUGUUUUUAAAUUCUGUAAUUGUUACGGUUUUGGUAAAAAUUCUAUCUUAAUUUGAUUAGGUUCAAAUGUACAUUCAUUACAGCUCUGCAAAACAGUUUCAUUCAUAUUUUUUGAUUUGAGCAAGAUUUCUGGUAGAAAAAUAGCGCGUAGUUACAAAAAACUAAAUAAGCACACAUCGCAUAGUAAAACCAAUACAUUCCUCGGUCAUCAAAAUGCAUUUUUUAUCAUCAGGGGCAAAUGCUGGUAAGUUUUUGGGACAGGAGGGGUUGGUUGAACAAAUAUUGUCUU